rnacentral:rRNA from 1 species
GAUGAACGCUGGCGGCGUGCCUAAUACAUGCAAGUCGAGCGAACAGACGAGGAGCUUGCUCCUCUGACGUUAGCGGCGGACGGGUGAGUAACACGUGGAUAACCUACCUAUAAGACUGGGAUAACUUCGGGAAACCGGAGCUAAUACCGGAUAAUAUAUUGAACCGCAUGGUUCAAUAGUGAAAGACGGUUUUGCUGUCACUUAUAGAUGGAUCCGCGCCGCAUUAGCUAGUUGGUAAGGUAACGGCUUACCAAGGCAACGAUGCGUAGCCGACCUGAGAGGGUGACCGGCCACACUGGAACUGAGACACGGUCCAGACUCCUACGGGAGGCAGCAGUAGGGAAUCUUCCGCAAAGGGCGAAAGCUUGACGGAGCAACGCCGCGUGAGUGAUGAAGGUCUUCGGAUCGUAAAACUCUGUUAUUAGGGAAGAACAAAUGUGUAAGUAACUAUGCACGUCUUGACGGUACCUAAUCAGAAAGCCACGGCUAACUACGUG